AUACAAGANUGAGUGGGUGUGGUCCGUGUUUUCAAGACGGGCGGUAUUGCGCCGUUGUGCCAGCAUCCGAGACAGAUGUCGCAGUCCUCGGUCCCCGCACGCAGCAUCUCGCACUGGCUAUAACACUCCGAAGAGCCACAUUCCAGCACGCCUUCUCCUGCGGCAAAAACCGAUGCUGGCCCAGGAAAAGCACAGAGCGCCGCCCACAAGGAGCAGCGGUGCGCAAAUCCCAUGUCGAGCCCAAUACCCUUCCCUUUCAACAAUUUCACGUGCUGUUUCACUCUCUUUUCAAAGUGCUUUUCAUCUUUCCUUCACAGUACUUGUUCGCUAUCGGUCUCUCGCCAAUAUUUAGCCUUAGAUGGAAUUUACCACCCACUUAGAGCUGCAUUCCCAAACAACUCGACUCGUCAGAAGGGCCUUACAGCUUCCGCACGCGUCUCACGGGGCUCUCACCCUCAAUGGCACCCUGUUCCAAGGGACUUAGACACACGCUUCCACAAAGACUCCAACCUGCAAUCUACAACUCGUGCCGAAACACGAUUUCAAAUCUGAGCUUUUGCCGCUUCACUCGCCGCUACUGAGGCAAUCCCUGUUGGUUUCUUUUCCUCCGCUUAUUGAUAUGC
rnacentral:rRNA from 1 species